rnacentral:rRNA from 1 species
CACAUCCAAGGAAGGCAGCAGGCGCGCAAAUUACCCAAUCCUGACACAGGGAGGUAGUGACAAUAUAUAACGAUGCAGGGCCCUUACGGGUCUUGUAAUUGGAAUGAGUACAAUUUAAAUACCUUAACGAGGAACAAUUGGAGGGCAAGUCUGGUGCCAGCAGCCGCGGUAAUUCCAGCUCCAAGAGCGUAUAUUACUGGUUUUAAAGUUGUUGCAGUUAAAAAGCUCGUAGUUGAACUUUGGGCUUGGCUGGCCGGUCUAUGGCGCGACGCAUUCCCACUCAGCCGAGCCUUUCCUCCUGGUUUCUGUGUAGUUGGGCUUGUCUCAGCUGCAUAUGAUCCAGGACUAUUACUUUGAUUAGAGUGUUCAAAGCAGGCGUUUAGCUAAUAAUGAAAUAGGACGUAUGGUUCUAUUUUGUUGGUUUCUAGGACCAUCGUAAUGAUUAAUAGGGACGGUCGGGGGCAUCAGUAUUCAAUUGUCAGAGGUGAAAUUCUUGGAUUUAUUGAAGACUAACUACUGCGAAAGCAUUUGCCAAGGACGUUUUCAUUAAUCAAGAACGAAAGUUAGGGGAUCGAAGAUGAUCAGAUACCGUCGUAGUCUUAACCAUAAACUAUGCCGACUAGGGAUCGGGUGUUGUUCUUUUACUGACUCACUCGGCACCUUACGAGAAAUCAAAGUUUUUGGGUUCUGGGGGGAGUAUGGUCGCAAGGCUGAAACUUAAAGGAAUUGACGGAAGGGCACCACCAGGAGUGGAGCCUGCGGCUUAAUUUGACUCAACACGGGGAAACUCACCAGGUCCAGACACAAUAAGGAUUGACAGAUUGAGAGCUCUUUCUUGAUUUUGUGGGUGGUGGUGCAUGGUUCAUUAGUUGGUGGAGUGAUUUGUCUGCUUAAUUG